rnacentral:rRNA from 1 species
GACGAACGCUGGCGGCGCGCCUAACACAUGCAAGUCGAACGGAGAAAAGAUUUCGGUUUUUUCUCAGUGGCGGACGGGUGAGUAACGCGUGAGCAACCUGGCCUACAGAGGGGGAUAACGUCUGGAAACGGACGCUAAUACCGCAUAACGUAGCGAGAGGACAUCCUCUUGUUACCAAAGGAGAAAUCCGCUGAAGGAUGGGCUCGCGUCCGAUUAGGUAGUUGGUGAGGUAACGGCCCACCAAGCCCGCGAUCGGUAGCCGGAUUGAGAGAUUGGCCGGCCACAUUGGGACUGAGACACGGCCCAGACUCCUACGGGAGGCAGCAGUGGGGGAUAUUGCACAAUGGAGGAAACUCUGAUGCAGCGACGCCGCGUGAGGGAAGAAGGUCUUCGGAUUGUAAACCUCUGUCUUCAGGGAAGAAACCAUGACGGUACCUGAGGAGGAAGCCACGGCUAACUACGUG